GCUGGGUGUGGUGGCGGGCACCUGUAGUCCCAGCUACUUGGGAGGCUGAGGCAGGAGAAUCGCUUGAACCCAGGAGGCAGAGGUUGCGGUGAGCCGAGAUCGCACCACUGCACUCCAGCCUGGGUGACAGAGCGAGACUCUGUCUCAA
rnacentral:SRP_RNA from 1 species